AGAGAGCAGGGCCUGGUGGCCUGCAGAAAGGAUACCGGGAGUGAAGCAGGGCUGGGGAGAGCAAGAGGAGCAGGGGAGCUCCAGGCUGGCGACUCCCCAGGCUGCAGGGCCUGGUCCAAGGCCCAUAGAGGAAGGUAGCAGGUCUGAAACCCCUUGCCUAUGAUAAGUGGCUUUUACACUUCAGUCUUCCCCAGGGAGCGGGGGCUUGGUGAUGACUGGCAGUAGCCCAGACUGAGGCAAAGUGGGGAUUAGGGGGCUGGGGGUUUCCCAGAGAGGGGAGACCCAGAGAGACUGGUGGGGGUAUUGCCAGGGGGCAGCCCCAGGAUAAAGAGGCACAGGCAUCCAGGAGGGACACAGGGCCAGCUACAAGCGGGACACCAGUUCUGCAGAGAGCGCUCUGAGGCUGGAAAAGAGCUAAUUACCUGAGAUGACCAGCAAGAGGUGCCACAGGGCAGUUGGAGUUCUGCUGGGGAGAACCUUAUGAACCUACUACUCUGAACGAAGAGUGGAAUUGAAAAGUAACCCAAGAGAGAUGGAAGAUGUAUUAUUGAUGGCCAGUAUUGUUCUGGACACUAUUUGAGACAUUGAUACCCUGCUAUGGGUGAGACUGUAUGCGACAUGAACGGAUGGGAAAGUCAUUAAAAGAAUUGCUGGCAGAAGGAGAUUACUGGGGGAAGGUCCUGCAAUUCUGUGUUUAGCCAUGAGGGAAUGUGCCAACUGGAGAGUUACACUGCUACAGUCUAUUUCUGGUUUUAAAAGGGUAACCAUUUAAAAUUACUUGCAUUCACAAGAUACUUCUGCUUUUGACAGUAAAUCCAUCAGUAUUGUAAUAAUGGUCUAACACUUUGCUCAUAUUUUUUAAGCACAGAUGGCCCAAUUCUUUUGUGCGGUGUAAAUUUGGAAUAACAUCACUGAUAUCAGUGGAGUCAUUUCGGAUUCUUACUGAUGUGAAAGAGAACAAUGUGCCCAUGAGUCAUUAAAUGCAAUCCAUGGAGAGAUGGGUGCACCUUAAAUAUGGCCUAUUAUAAUGAACUAAUUUUUCCUAUCUUUAACAGUUUUGUUACAGUAAGACUUACAACAGACUGAGCUAUGUUUCCCACGGCAGCAUAACUUCUGAAUUCCUUGACAUUUAUGUAUUUAAAUUCUUAAUCAUUAUAUUACCUUAAUGUAGUUACACAAUAUUAAGUUGAUUUAAAGAUAUGUACACAUAGUAUAAUACUCAAAGUGUUAAAAUCAUAAGCAAUAACAAGAUGUAAACUGGAAAAAAAUAUUCU